rnacentral:rRNA from 1 species
GGCAGGCCUAACACAUGCAAGUCGAACGGUAGCACAGAGAGCUUGCUCUCGGGUGACGAGUGGCGGACGGGUGAGUAAUGUCUGGGAAACUGCCUGAUGGAGGGGGAUAACUACUGGAAACGGUAGCUAAUACCGCAUAACGUCGCAAGACCAAAGAGGGGGACCUUCGGGCCUCUUGCCAUCAGAUGUGCCCAGAUGGGAUUAGCUAGUAGGUGGGGUAACGGCUCACCUAGGCGACGAUCCCUAGCUGGUCUGAGAGGAUGACCAGCCACACUGGAACUGAGACACGGUCCAGACUCCUACGGGAGGCAGCAGUGGGGAAUAUUGCACAAUGGGCGCAAGCCUGAUGCAGCCAUGCCGCGUGUAUGAAGAAGGCCUUCGGGUUGUAAAGUACUUUCAGCGGGGAGGAAGGCGAUGAGGUUAAUAACCUCGUCGAUUGACGUUACCCGCAGAAGAAGCACCGGCUAACUCCGUGCCAGCAGCCGCGGUAAUACGGAGGGUGCAAGCGUUAAUCGGAAUUACUGGGCGUAAAGCGCACGCAGGCGGUCUGUCAAGUCGGAUGUGAAAUCCCCGGGCUCAACCUGGGAACUGCAUUCGAAACUGGCAGGCUGGAGUCUUGUAGAGGGGGUAGAAUUCCAGGUGUAGCGUGAAAUGCUAGAAUCUGGAGGAA